rnacentral:sRNA from 1 species
UGGAAAUCCGGCGCGGUCGCGCCACUGUGACCAGCGUGUCGAAAGCUCUUCGCGCUGGAAGUCAGACCCUGCCGCACAAGCACUCUUUCGACUGAACGCGUCAUUCCGGAGGAAUACA